UUCUAUCACAGGCGCUGCUCCCUGAUCCUACUAUUUACAUCCAUUGUACCACCAGAAAAGAAGAGACUCUGGUUUUUGGGACGUUUCAGCAGCCACAUACUACAAUUACAAGUACUGAUAUUCCACCUACCCCUCUAUUCAUCUGGAUAUUUGUCAGUUUGUCAGUCCAUUAAGCCCCCGAGAUGGCUGUCCAAGGUAGGGUAAAGGAGGGUGGCCGAAAUAGCAAAGACUAGAGGCAGGCAGGCGGGUAGCAAGGAAGCUGUGAUCUUCAAGCUUUGCUGUGAUGCCGGGAGCUGGAAUAUGAUAUCACUUCACCCCCGGCAUUGCUAAACAGUGUUUGUGAGUGUGUGUCUGUAAGUUUGUGUCAAAUCAGUGAG